UACGUAGGGUGCGAGCGUUGUCCGGAAUUAUUGGGCGUAAAGAGCUCGUAGGCGGUGUGUCACGUCGGCCGUGAAAACCUGCAGCUUAACUGUGGGCGUGCGGUCGAUACGGGCAUCACUGGAGGUUCGGCAGGGGAGACUGGAAUUCCUGGUGUAGCGGUGAAAUGCGCAGAUAUCAGGAGGAACACCGGUGGCGAAGGCGGGUCUCUGGGCCGAUACUGACGCUGAGGAGCGAAAGCGUGGGAGCAAACAGG
rnacentral:rRNA from 1 species